GUGCUCACUUCAGCAGCAACAUGUGCUAAAAUUGGCAAGACUCAGAGAAGACCAGCAUGGCCCCUGUACAAGGGUGACAUGCAAAUUCAUGAAGCAUUCUGUAUAUUA